rnacentral:rRNA from 1 species
UUUCUUAAAACUUAGUGUAGUAAUAGUUAUGUUCUUGAAACUUAAAAAAUUUGGCGGUAUUUUAAUCUAUUCAGAGGAACCUGUUUUAUAAUCGAUAAUCCACGAUGGACCUUACUUAAACUUGUAAUCAGCUUAUAUAUCGUCGUUAUUAGAAUAUUUUAUUAGAAAGUUAAUUUUCAAAAUUUUAUAAAAGAAAAUAUAUCAGAUCAAGGUGUAGCUUAUGUUUAAGUAAAAAUGGGUUACAAUAAAAAUAUUUAUAUGAAUAUAAAUUUGAAAUGUUUAUUGAAGGUGGAUUUGAUAGUAAAAUUAUAAAGAUUAAUAAUUUGAUUUUAGCUCUAAAAUAUGC